AACGUAGGACGCAAGCGUUAUCCGGAGUUACUGGGCGUAAAGCGCGGGCAGGCGGUUACUCAAGUCUGAUGUGAAAUCUCUCCGCUCAACGGGGAGCAGCCAUUGGAAACUGGGCAACUGGAGUCUGGCAGAGGUAGGCGGAAUUCCGGGUGGAGUGGUGAAAUGCGUAGAGAUCCGGAGGAACACCAGAGGCGAAGGCGGCCUACUGGGCCAGUACUGACGCUGAGCCGCGAAAGCCAGGGGAGCGAACGGG
rnacentral:rRNA from 1 species